UAAACGGCCGCGGUAUCCUGACCGUGCUAAGGUAGCGCAAUAGAUCGCCCUUUAAUUGGGGGCAAGUAUGAAUGGUCAGACAAGAGUUUAGCUGUCUCAAGAGGUCUUAAUAAAAAUUAACCUCUAGGUGCAGAGGCCUAGAUAUUAGUGAAAGACAAGAAGACCCUAUCGAGCUUUAAUUUCAUCUUUCUGUAAUGUUUGUUGCAUAAAUUUUUGUUGGGAGCACAAGAGAGGAAACAAAGUCCCUCUUGCAAAAAAAGGAAAACAAUUUUUACACGAGCCAUUUUCGGUUCUUAAGAUUAGCUUCUUAAUCAAACAUAUUAAAGGCAUCAGCUACCGUAGGGAUAACAGACUACUUUCCCUCGAGAGUUCACAUUGACAGGGAAGCUUGGCACCUCGAUGUUGGCUUAAGAUAUCAGUUAGAAGCAGCACCCUAACAACGUAGGUUUGUUCAACCUUUAAUAUCUUACAUGAUCUGAGUUCAAACCGG
rnacentral:rRNA from 1 species